AUGUGGUUUAAUUCGAUGAUACGCGAGGAACCUUACCUGGGCUUAAAUGUAGAGUGCAUUGAGAGGAAACUUUCAUUUUCUUCGGAACUCUUUACAAGGUGCUGCAUGGUUGUCGUCAGCUCGUGCCGUGAGGUGUCGGGUUAAGUCCCAUAACGAGCGCAACCCUUAUCGUUAGUUGCCAGCGGGUAAUGCCGGGAACUCUAGCGAAACUGCCGGUGUAAACCGAGAGGAAGUGGGAUGACGUCAAAUCAGCACGGCCCUUAUGUCCAGGGCUACACACGUGUUACAAUGGCCGGUACAGAGGGCAGCUACCUGGAGACAGGAUGCGAAUCUCGAAAGCCGGUCUCAGUUCGGAUCGGAGUCUGCAACCCGACUCCGUGAAGCUGGAUUCGCUAGUAAUCGCGCAUCAGCCAUGGCGCGGUGAAUACGUUCCCGGGCCUU
rnacentral:rRNA from 1 species